rnacentral:rRNA from 1 species
UUUCCGGUUGAUCCCGCCGGAGGCCACUGCUAUUGGGGUUCGACUAAGCCAUGCGAGUCUAUGGACUUCGGUCCAUGGCGGACGGCUCAGUAACACGUGGCUAACCUACCCUCAGGUGGGGGAUAACCUCGGGAAACUGAGGGUAAUACCCCAUAGGGGAAGAGGUCUGGAAUGAUCCUUCCUUGAAAGGACAUCCGCCUGAGGAUGGGGCUGCGUCCGAUUAGGUAGUUGGUGGGGUAAUGGCCCACCAAGCCUACGACCGGUACGGGCCUUGAGAGAGGAAGCCCGGAGAUGGGGACUGAGACACGGCCCCAGGCCCUACGGGGCGCAGCAGGCGCGAAACCUCCACAAUGCACGAAAGUGCGAUGGGGGAACCCCUAGUGCCUAUGCACAGCAUAGGCUUUUCCCAGGUGUAAACAGCUUGGGGAAUAAGGGCUGGGCAAGUCCGGUGCCAGCAGCCGCGGUAACACCGGCGGCCCGAGUGGUGGCCACUCUUAUUGGGCCUAAAGCGUCCGUAGCCGGUCCAGUAAGUCCCUGUUUAAAUCCUACGGCUCAACCGUAGGGCUGGCAGGGAUACUGCUGGACUUGGGACCGGGAGAGGACGAGGGUACUCCAGGGGUAGCGGUGAAAUGUGUUGAUCCCUGGAGGACCACCUAUGGCGAAGGCACUCGUCU